rnacentral:rRNA from 1 species
UACGGAGGAUGCAAGCGUUAUCCGGAAUGAUUGGGCGUAAAGCGUCCGCAGGUGGCAAUGUAAGUCUGCUGUCAAAGCGUCUGGCUCAACCAGAUAAAGGCAGUGGAAACUACAUAGCUAGAGUAAGGUAGGGGUAGAGGGAAUUCCUGGUGUAGCGGUGAAAUGCGUAGAGAUCAGGAAGAACGCCGGUGGCGAAAGCGCUCUGCUGGACCUUAACUGACACUGAGGGACGAAAGCUAGGGGAGCGAAUGGG